ACGCUCGACACCUACGGAGGCAGCAGUGAGGAAUAUUGGUCAAUGGGCGCUAGCCUGAACCAGCCAAGUAGCGUGAAGGAUGAAGGCUCUAUGGGUCGUAAACUUCUUUUAUAUAAGAAUAAAGUGCAGUAUGUAUACUGUUUUGUAUGUAUUAUAUGAAUAAGGAUCGGCUAACUCCGUGCCAGCAGCUGCGGUAAUCUGAGCGGGCUGGCAAGGC
rnacentral:rRNA from 1 species